UUGUGAAAAAGCUAAGAUCCCGGAUAAAAUCUUUUCAGUUCGUGCCCCCUUCCCUUAUAUCCGUUCUUCUUCUCCUCGCAUCGCCGCAGCUAUUGAAAAUGGGAUCGUAUGGGACAACGUGUACUUCGUCAGGAUCGCUCAAUGCAGUUACGAAUAUGAACAAACAUUUUCUUUCUUGCCUCUUCUUCCUUUGUGCAUUUCGUUGUUGUCUUGAACAGGUACUCCCUUUUCUCUUUAUCUCCUUGAAACCAUAUCCCACAGCUGUGAAAAUAUAUGCACACAGCGAUAGAAAAUAUGAAGGCAUAUAUGGGUGGUUUUCUUUCACAUACGAAGGCGUAUCUGGGUUUUGCUCUCUUUUAAUUCAAAAUUCCUUUCACACUCGACGUUAUCACUCUUGAUUUUACAUAAGAAACAAGUCUUAACCAUACGUUUGUAUCAUUAUUGGAGAUUUUUUUGUUCUUUUUUGCAAGAGCAAAUAGAGUUUCCAGGAGAGUGAAACCCUUCCUAGAUGUGCAAUAUGAUUGAACAAGCAGGGUGGAUCAUUUUAUGGAUGUUUUCAUAGUUGCAACUCGAGUCGUAGGAAUGAGAAAAGGUUGCACACCAAGUGUUUGAUAAUAAUCCCCAAUCAAAUUGCAUAUCAAAUGGCAAGUUCAGUGUUGCUUGGUCUUACUUUUACCCAUAUAAAUUCAGGACCUCUUCAGGACCAAAGUUAGCCUCACCAUCCAACAUAAUAUUUGAUGUGCAUGAAAGCAGAAAACAACAAACAACCACAUGUAUUUUUUAGGUGAUGAUUCAAUGUAAAUCUUCAAGAUAUUAGGAAGAUUUUAGCCAAUUUUUUGUGUUAAAAAGAGUUUUUUUUUCUCAUAAAAAUGGUUAUUAAACUGGAAGUUGGAAUGAAAAUGCAGGUCCUGAAUAGAUUGUUGAUUUCACUUUCUACUGAUUUUGCUCUUGGUUUGGUUUUGUUGCAUGUUUCUACCCAUAUUUACAUGCUACUUACAUAUAUGACAAGUAAUUUGAAGACUUCACCCAGGAUCUUCAAGGGUCGUCUAGGAAUCAAUCAUGGGCAUCUUAAUAGAUGAGUAGUAAGACAUCAGAAAUUACUGGUUGAUGAUGUGUUUGAAAUAGAGAGAGGGGCUACUGAGUUUUCUUAUUUUAAGGAGAAACUGGUUAAUUAAUCUAGGAACUCGAGUAAAAGAGUCAGGUCUGAUUCAGUUUUUAAAAAUGUUUUAAGUUGAUGUCAGGUCUGAUGCAGUAUUGGGACUAAUAGAAUUUGAAUUUGAGAUUCCAUUCCUUGGAGUAUUUUGUUGCCAAAUGGUUAGAUGUCAGGUGGUUUGUUCUCGGUUUUUUAAGGUGGUUUUAAUGGCGAUGAUGGAACCGGUUGGCUAUGGUGGUUAGUGACGGUGUGAUGUAGGUGGUGUUCCGACUAGGAGUGGGUCUCGAUAGAGGUGCUUGGUGAUGAUGAUAACAGCUGGUGUUGUUGGCGGUAUAAGGUGGCGAUAGUGGCAGGUUUUUAAUGGUGCUGGAACAGUGGUUUUCUAGCAAGUGUGUUUCUCGGUGGGGAAGAAAGUGGUUGGAGAUAACUAUGGACUCAGAGGCUUCAUUGAGAGCAUCAAUCUUGUUUUGCUUCAAUCCAGCAUCUAUGGGUGGUUUUUAUGUAUAUUUCAAAAGAGAUCUGGAGUUUUUCCUCAGUUGCAGCAAGUGAAGUAUGAUUGUAACAAAUGUUGAACAGUUUUAGAACCUUUUAUCCAAAAUUCAUACUCAGAAGUGAGAGUUGGGUCAUGCCCCGCCGCUUUGCGCGGGUAGACGGCUAGUAUAUAUAUAUAUAUAUAUAUAUAUAUAUAUAUAUAUAUAUAUAUAUAUAUAUAUAUAUAUAUAUAUAUAUCUUUACUAUCUUAUAAAAGAAAUCUUACUAUUUCUAAAAAUAAAUUUAUUAUAAUAAUAUUAUUUUUUAAGACGUUCAAACUAUAAAACUAAUAGUACAACAACCUACAAAUAUAAUAAUAUUAUAAUUUCAAUCAAUUCAUAUCUUUGACUCGGCUCUUGUAUCUUUCCCUAAUUUCUCUGUUGUUUCUUAUCUUGAAAGCGCUCUUCAAAACCAAAUUAUCAUUUAAGUUCCUGGUCAAUUCGCUUAAUUUAAAAUUUAAAAAGCACACAUCUUCAAAUACGAUCAAACUACAUGGUAUCUCAAACCCUAAAUUCAACUCUCUCAAACCUGACAACGAACUUCACCACCGCCUCACAGCCGUCAGGAACCAUCUCCCAUUCUCCACUCUCAGUGUUGUUGCAUCUUUGAUACAGAGAAAUAGUAGUUAGUACCGUGGAGCUGAAAAAGCACGCUUCCACCACUUCCCACGUCAACUUGUAUCCUACCAUGCUUCCCUUUUCUGGCAUUCCACCACACUUCCAUAGUUCUACUAUCGAUGCCACCAAUAUCACCUUACUCUUUCUCUUUCUACUAGAAACGCAUAGUCUACCCCCUUCAAUAUCGUUGAUGGUUCUCUAGCUCCGAUACCGGAAGACGUCGAAUCGCCUCCAGCAACGACGACUGCCUAUGGUGGUGGUCCCCUUUUCCUUUUCAUUCCUAUUGGACCUCUGGUUCCCAUCUCUUGAUUUCUUCUCCAUAUAUAUCACUUCCCACUAUAACUCUUAUUUUAUUUCAAAAUCCAAACCCUAUGAAAUAGAAAACUCUACUUGGAUGAUAACAGUAAGUUCAAGCUUUAUUUUAUUUUGAUAUUUGUGGGUUUCAAAUUAUGGUUCUUGCUCCGCUUCUAAGACGCAUGGCUUCACACUAAUUUCUCCAAUGUCGAUCACCUACUUCACUUCUUUUUUAUUUAUUUAUUUUUUUUUUCUGAAUUUGUGUUAUUCACAAACAAGCUAUAGAUGGUCAAUCAAGAUGAACAAGCAAGACUUCAUGAAUUUAGAGCUGAUGCGAAAGCUAUUUUGAAGGGCUGAGUCAAGGAUGAUUACGAGGAUGAUGCUUCACUCUCUGUGGAUGAAUUGUACAUAUAGAUGUACCCAUUUUUGCUUCUUUGAGGUUUGUGAUUUUUCUUUUCGUAUGUAGUGAUGAGCGGUGUAACCUCGAUUAAAGGAAAAAGGAUGGGGCUGAGGGACUUAGCUGGACUUCAAAGCUUCUUCCCCAUAAAGAUCGUAGAUCUGACGCUUCUUAAGGUCGCUUAACACAUCAUACGCUUCAGAAAUCUGCUUGAAUUUGGCUUCCUCUUCUCCUUUGUUACUGCUAGGGUUUCUGUCCGGGUGCCAAAUCAUGGCGAGACGACGGUAGGCUUUUUUUAGGUCUUCAUCACUAGCAUUUCUGUAAUCCAUUGUAUGAUUUUCACUAUAAGGAUUUUGAUUUCAAAAAUAUUACAUCUUCACCACCUCCGACAUUAAAAAUUUUUAGAGAUGCAGAGGAGAAAUCAUUGAGAAGAUUGAUGGAAUUAGAAUCUGAGAAAAGUUUGAGUUUAAUCAAGAUACCAAAGAGAACGAGAAAGAGGAAGAUGGUUAAUAUGUAAAUAUUGGAUGGUAAUAAGGGCAAAGAUGCAGAAUGGAUUCAUCGUCAAAUGUCUAGGAGUUCAUAGAAAACCUCAAAAGGGGUGAAGGAGAAAGCUCCAUCUUUACAAGAAAACAGGAUUAGAGAAUCUAUAGAAUGUUCUAAAAUGGGAAACCGGUUACAUGUUAGCAAACAUCAUGAAAGAAAAACAAGUGCCAUAGCUUACAAGAACCAAAGGUCAGAAAAUAUGGCACAUAAAGUUGGUGAUAUCGUUAAACACAGUAGUAAUCUGCCUGACUAUCUCCAGUGUGGGGGCAAAACUGGAAAUAUCAAUUUUAAAGAGACAACUUCAUUAAAUUGAAACCCAAUUGAAGCUUCAAAGCCGAAACAGAUGUUAUAGGCUUCGUGAUGAAGAAGAUGGUGAAUUUCAUGUUGAUGUCGGGUAAGAUCAUUUGUCCUUUGUUUUACAAACGAUCAUGAAACACUGUUUUAUCUUUUAUAUUUAAAGGAUCAAGAAACUUAUGAAUGCCAUAAAUUUUAUUUUUUUAGGAGUAGUUUGCUUACUAUUGCAGCUGAAAACCAGCCAUCUUAGGAUAAUGAAGAUGUAGUUGUUAACACCUAAGUUUUUUUAGUAGAUUUAUUUGAUGUUGGAUUUUUUAUGGUUGUCUUUCUUUGGAUUGUUUCAAAUAAGUUAACAACUAAGCUUUUUUAGUAGAUUUGUUUAAUGUUGGAAA